UGAAUACGAGACGCUAAGGCGUCGAAGUAGUGUAUGUCAUACUUCCAAGUAAAGCUUGCACUGUCAUAGAUAAAAAACGCCUGUACCAUAACCGACACAGGUGGGUAGGUAGAGUAUACUAAGGGGCGCGAGAUAACUCUCUCUAAGGAACUCGGCAAAAUAACUCCGUAACUUCGGGAGAAGGAGUGCCUUAUUCUUAAGGUUGCAAUAACAAGAUCCAAGCAACUGUUUAUCAAAAACACAGGUCUCCGCUAAGUCGUAAGACGAUGUAUGGGGGCUGACGCCUGCCCAGUGCCAGAAGGUUAAAUAAGCUGGUUAGCAUUUGCGAAGCUAGUAACUGAAGCCCUGGUGAACGGCGGCCGUAACAAUAACGGUCCUAAGGUAGCGAAAUUCCUUGUCGGGUAAGUUCCGACCCGCACGAAAGGCGUAAUGAUUUGGAUACUGUCUCGGAGAGGGGCUCGGUGAAAUAGACUUGUCUGUGAAGAUGCGGACUACCUGCACCAGGACAGAAAGACCCUAUGAAGCUUUACCGUAACUUGAAAUUGAAAUUGGACUUUAUUCGCGCAGUAUAGGUGGGAGGCGUUGAUUAUAAUCUUGCGGGAUUAUUGGAGCCAUUAGUGAGAUACCACUCUUGUAAUGUUAGAUUUCUAACUUUGAAUCAUUAUCUGGUCAAAGAACAGUUUCAGGCGGGCAGUUUGACUGGGGCGGUCGCCUCCCAAACGGUAACGGAGGCGUACAAAGGUUUCCUCUGAACGGUUAGAAAUCGUAUCUAGAGUGUAAAGGCAUAAGGAAGCUUGACUGUGAGACCUACAAGUCGAGCAGGGACGAAAGUCGGUCUUAGUGAUCUGACGGUACUGAGUGGAAAGGCCGUCACUCAACGGAUAAAAGUUACUCUAAGGAUAACAGGCUGAUCUCCCCCAAGAGCUCACAUCGACGGGGAGGUUUGGCACCUCGAUGUCGGCUCAUCGCAUCCUGGGGCGGUAGUACGUCCCAAGGGUUGGGCUGUUCGCCCAUGAAAGCGGUACGCGAGCUGGGUUCAGAACGUCGUGAGACAGUUCGGUCCAUAUCCGGUGUAGGCGUUAGAAUAUUGAGAGGAGCCUUCUUUAGUACGAGAGGACCGAGAAGGACAUACCUCUGGUGUACCAGUUAUCGUGCCAACGGUAGACGCUGGGUAGCUAUGUAUGGAGUGGAUAACCGCUGAAAGCAUCUAAGUGGGAAGCCCACCUCAAGAUAAG
rnacentral:rRNA from 1 species